rnacentral:rRNA from 1 species
UGUGUAGGCGGUUCUCUAAGUUCGGUGUGAAAUCUCCCGGCUCAACUGGGAGGGUGCGCCGAAAACUGGAGGGCUUGAGUACGGGAGAGGAGAGCGGAAUUCCUGGUGUAGCGGUGAAAUGCGUAGAGAUCAGGAGGAACACCCGCGGUGUAGACGGCUCUCUGGACCGUGACUGACGCUGAGACACGAAAGCGUGGGUAGCAAACA